UAUAGCACACGGUAUCUGAGUAACCGUUCUCUUCUUCCUACAGAUCCUGCCGUUUUAUAUAAAAACCUACCUGAUCAGCUUCCCAGGGUUCACGGGGCUUUUCCUCGCCGCAGUAGUGAGUGCCUCAACCAGCACCAUAUCCUCGGCCAUAAAUUCCGAAGCAGCUGUUAUCUACGUCGACGUCCUAUCGCCACGCUUCAAGCAGCUCGAUGCACACGUUCGCUGGAUAACCCAUGGUCUUGCAUUCCUUCUUGGCAUCAUCAUGACUGUUUACAGCUGUGUCUGCGUCUAUAUGGGAUCUGUAACUAUGG
rnacentral:lncRNA from 1 species